GGCGUCCUAGAGGAGUUAUUUCCACUCCAGUGAUAAGAACUUUUGGAAGAGGCGGAAGGUACUAUGGGAGAGGUUAUAAAAGCCAGGGAGCAAUUCAGGGCAAACCUCCUUAUGCUGCUUCAGCAGAAGAAGUAGCCAAAGAACUUAAGUCAAAAUCAGAGGAAUCUAAAUCCUCAAUUGUGUCUUCAGAUGGAUCCCUGGCUGAAAAUGGAGUUGUGAAUGAGGAAAAACCAGCUUCCCAGAUGAAUGGGAAUACAGGAGACAUCAGGGCUUCCAAUCAGUCUGAAAGUGCCUUGAGUAAUGACUCUAAAAUGUGCAAUACAAAUCCUCACUUAAAUGCACUAAAUGCAGACAGUGUUUGCCAUAAAGAUGAUACUCUUGAGGCCACUGUCUUAAAAAAAGAAGAGUAAACUUAUUUUUUAUAGAGGGUGAAGGAUGUUGGGAAGGGUCAGGAUUAGGAAUAUCUGGAAAGAAAGAGAGCCUACAGUUACGUACAUUUUUUCCUUUCCGUAAGAGAAAAAUGAGGACUUUGGAAAUUCGGAUCCCUCUUUGAUGUCAGAGAUUUAAACAACACAUUUUUAGUUUUAACCAGUUGUAGUCAAAAUGCUACAAUAAAACAAAAAAGAAAGAGAAUGAAGAGCAUUUGACUCCCGCACUUAAAAUGAAGUAUACAUAAAGUUUAAACUGGUUAUGACAAAAGCUUGUAGUUUUGUUUUUUGAAAUAUAAAGAAAACAAAUUUUGGCAGUCUUUAAGUAUAUAUAGCUUAAAAUAUAAUUUUUAGUACUUGGCACCAUAUGUAUGCCAUUAUAUUUGAUUUUGCAUUACUGUGUCACAAUAAAGCUUUCUUUAAGGCUUUGAUUUCAUGGUUAUGGGGGGAAAAAGGCACAACCACAGUUUUUUCUUUCUUAAAUUUCAUCACCGUUGAUGUGGUUCUUUUGUGUUAAAAUGUGCAAACUAUCGAAACUAAAAAUUAUAGAGUAAUAUUGCAGUUCUGCUGAUUUUAAAUAUACAUCAUACAUACUUUACAAGCAAGUUAAAUGGAGAUAAACUUGAAAUCAUAGAAGAUGCAAAUGACCUUUCAAAAUAAACACAAUGUGUUCUGAAACUUUUUGUGACUAAUACCAUGCAUCCGUGAUCAAUGAACUAUGUGGUUUUGAAUCAGACGUAGACCAUUAGUACUACUAUUUGAGCUAAACUUCUGCAUGGUUCAUAAUUUUUAAAGUGUGUAGUUAAUAUUAUGCAUGUUAUUGUCCUCUUUCUUCCAUUCUUACAAGUACUGUGCCCAUUUGCAAAACAAAAAGCUAAUAAUCAGUAAUAGUCCUAUAAAAGAUGUUAACUAUGUUUAGUCAUUGACUGAUCUUGCUCUAACCUUAAAAUUUUGUGAUUAUUGACCUCUGUUGCAUUUAUUCUAAAACUUAAAAAAAAAAAAUUAUCUAGCCGUUUUGAAUAUCAACGUUACCCUGGUGUACUCAUUGCUGUAUGCAUUAUUGUUCUCUGUUGCUGUUUUAUGCCUUCAUAUUAGCAAAUAUGAAAUUCUGUGAAAAACAAAUAAAAAAGCUUUGAUCUUCAAAAAAAAAAAAAAGUACCCCCCUUCUGUAGCAGGAAACAAAUGGCUUGUUCUUGAGAACUUUCCCAUCAAGAAUUUAGUAUAAGCAAAUAUACCUGUAUCAUUUUGAUGUUUUUGUUAGUGUUUCCAAACUUAAUGUACUUCAAAAUCAGAAUCAUUUCUUUAUAUUCGUUUUCAUAUAAUUCUCCUGAUGCUCUUCAUCACACAUUAGUGAUCAGAAAUGAGGUGUAAUUCCCCAUUCCCUGCCCGCAAGAGCUAAGUAGGUAUCUUAAUGUAAGUUGAAGGGAGUUCUGCCCCAACUCAUGGAUUGUGCAAGAAUGAACUACUGUUGGGUUUGAUUGGUUGUAGAUGGAUUGUGGUGUGGUGUAUUUGAAGGCUAUUGAAUGCAACUUACAGUGCUUAAUAAAAAUCUUUAUUCUUUUAGUAUAAAAUACUGUAUGCCUUUUUUGUCAAAUAUUUUUUUAAUUAACAUGUUGUAAAUAAAAGUUUUCCUAUGCCCAAA